rnacentral:rRNA from 1 species
CUCUUUAAGAAAUAAUUUAAAGUACUACCUGCUCAAUGAUUUAUUAAAUAGCCGCAGUGAUACUGUGCUAAGGUAGCAUAAUAACUAGCUUUCUAAUUAAAAGAUCGUAUGAAAGGUAAGACGAAAAAUAACUGUUUCAUUAGUUAAUAAUAAAUUUAAUUAAUUAGUCAAAACUCUAAUAUAAAUAUGAAAGACGACAAGACCCUAAUAAACUUAACAUUUUGUUGGGGCAACAAAACAAAAAUACCUUUUAUUAAAAAUAAAACCGUACAAUACUAACAAAAAUAGUUACUAUAGGGAUAACAGCGCAAUUCUUUUUCAAAGCCCUUAUCCAAAAAAGACAUUACGACCUCGAUGUUGAAUUAAUUAUCUUUUUUAGUGCAAAAGCUAAAAAAGUAGGGUCUGUUCGACCUUAAAUAAAUU